GUGAAAUUGUUGGAAAGGGAAACGAAUUAAAGUACAGUCGGUAACCAACCGGGAAAGUCAACCUUUUGUAGUUCGGUCUUGUGGGUUUGUAAGAGUUCUAAAGCCUUCUGAUUGUGAGAUUGGGAUCUCUUGGUGCACUUUUUCGUACGGUUAGUCAACAUCGGUUUUAAUCAUUAUAAAAUAGGUUGAAGGAAUGUAACUUUGAUCUCGAUCGAGGUAUUAUAUAUAGCCUUUGACAGAUGUAAUGAUCAAGACCGAGGAUUGCAACGGAUAUCCUUCAGGGCUAUUCGUCUGAUCUUUGGUACUUGUCUUUAGUAUCGGAAGCUUGCUUACGAUAUUAGGGUUCACGUGUCAAAGGUUGGAACGGAUUAAAUUCGUUAAGGAUGUUGACGUAAUGGCUUUAAACGAC
rnacentral:rRNA from 1 species